rnacentral:rRNA from 1 species
AUUGAACGCUGGCGGCAGGCCUAACACAUGCAAGUCGAGCGGAUGAAGGGAGCUUGCUCCUGGAUUCAGCGGCGGACGGGUGAGUAAUGCCUAGGAAUCUGCCUGGUGGUGGGGGAUAACGUCCGGAAACGGGCGCUAAUACCGCAUACGUCCUGAGGGAGAAAGUGGGGGAUCUUCGGACCUCACGCUAUCAGAUGAGCCUAGGUCGGAUUAGCUAGUUGGUGGGGUAAAGGCCUACCAAGGCGACGAUCCGUAACUGGUCUGAGAGGAUGAUCAGUCACACUGGAACUGAGACACGGUCCAGACUCCUACGGGAGGCAGCAGUGGGGAAUAUUGGACAAUGGGCGAAAGCCUGAUCCAGCCCUGCCGCGUGGGUGAAGAAGGUCUUCGGAUUGUAAAGCACUUUAAGUUGGGAGGAAGGGCAGUAAGUUAAUACCUUGCUGUUUUGACGUUACCAACAGAAUAAGCACCGGCUAACUUCGUG